rnacentral:rRNA from 1 species
UACGUAGGGUGCGAGCGUUAAUCGGAAUUACUGGGCGUAAAGCGUGCGCAGGCGGUUUUGUAAGCCAGAUGUGAAAUCCCCGGGCUCAACCCAGGGCCUGCAUCGGAAACUGUCGGGCUUGAGUAUGGGAGAGGUGAGUGGAAUUUCCGGUGUAGCGGUGAAAUGCGUAGUAUAUCGGAAGGAACACCUGUGGCGAAAGCGGCUCACUGGACCAUUACUGACGCUGAGGCACGAAAGCUAGGGGAGCAAACAGGAGUUAGAAACCCGAU